rnacentral:tRNA from 1 species
GGGAGAUUAGCUUAAUGGUAAAGAAUCUUCCUUAUAAGAAGACAAAGCGGGGUCUAGAUAAGGCUCUGUUACAGGUUCGAGUCCUGUAUCUCCCACCA